rnacentral:rRNA from 1 species
AGAGUUUGAUCCUGGCUCAGAUUGAACGCUGGCGGCAUGCCUUACACAUGCAAGUCGAACGGCAGCACGGGAGCAAUCCUGGUGGCGAGUGGCGAACGGGUGAGUAAUACAUCGGAACGUGUCCUGUAGUGGGGGAUAGCCCGGCGAAAGCCGGAUUAAUACCGCAUACGCUCUACGGAGGAAAGGGGGGGAUCUUAGGACCUCUCGCUACAGGGGCGGCCGAUGGCAGAUUAGCUAGUUGGUGGGGUAAAGGCCUACCAAGGCGACGAUCUGUAGCUGGUCUGAGAGGACGACCAGCCACACUGGGACUGAGACACGGCCCAGACUCCUACGGGAGGCAGCAGUGGGGAAUUUUGGACAAUGGGCGCAAGCCUGAUCCAGCAAUGCCGCGUGUGUGAAGAAGGCCUUCGGGUUGUAAAGCACU